rnacentral:rRNA from 1 species
ACGCUCGACACCUACGGGAAGCAGCAGUGGGGAAUAUUGCACAAUGGAGGAAACUCUGAUGCAGCGACGCCGCGUGAGCGAAGAAGUAUUUCGGUAUGUAAAGCUCUAUCAGCAGGGAAGAAAAAGGACGGUACCUGACUAAGAAGCUCCGGCUAAAUACGUGCCAGCAGCCACGGUAAUCUGAGCGGGCUGGCAAGGC